UGCGACGGGAACACAGCUGAAGGAAAAAAAAAAAAAAAGAAAAAAGAAAAAAAAAAAACCGAUACGACGUAACAAUGGCUGCAUCGAGCACUUUAUAGUAGGCGGCGGAAAACAAACGAGAGAAUGUGUGUAUGCGAAAAGCAUGAAAUCGUGCGGGAAUGGAAUGCUUGAAGUCCCCGUGUUUUUGUUUUAUUUUUCCUCCUUGGAAUACGAAGAAUGUUGUAAUAUAAAAUGGAGUGCUGGGGGGGAAGGAACGCGCUGGCUCCAUCACUGAGAGGCGCGUCCACCUGCUGAUACUGGAAGUCCGGGCUUUAGAAAAACAUGGAGAGGUCCGUGCACUGAGGGGGAGGAAAAAAGACAGAUUUGGGAGGAAGAAAAAAAAAAAAAUCGCCGCAGGCGGGACCCUGCUAACGGGGGAAAAAGGGGCGCACUUCGGGUGUUUUAAAAGAUUGGACCACAGUGAUGAUGCUUCAGAGGAAUAGGACCCUGCCAAAUUGAUGGAUGUCCUACAAGAAACAAACCUCGCUGUGCCGACUCAAAACCCAACACAGAUCAAUGAGGUGGAUGAGAGCGGACCACAUGAACAGGGAGGUAAUCUGAAGCCGUAUGUUGCUGCAGAUGCUGGCGCUCCCCUCCUUUCCUCUGCUGCUGCAGCAAACACACAAAAAGGAAGCCACGAGUGCCAGAAAUCCACACUGAUCCCAUCGUCCACACUGAGCCUGACUGAAGCCCAAGAGCAUGCCAUCACCCACGAGACCUCCACUCAUGCCAUCUCUCUUACCUCCUGCGUGGCCAAGGGAGUGAGUCCAUGGUCACUGCCUGAGGACUGCGACAAAAACGCCUUCACAAUCAUGGAGCCUGGGGGCAUCUCCACCCUGACGGGGGACUGUCUGAUGCAGCCAAGCCGCACGUGCCUGGGCUGCUUUAUUGAGACCAAGGAUGUUGCUGACCUGGAGCCAGGGAUCAGCAUGAAAAUGGGUGACAUGAGAGGCGAAUAUGAUUCCUGUUCCAUCUCUGAUAUGGGAAUGCAAUGCAUGAGCACCAGCAAUAGCUGCCGCUAUGGAGACCAGCUGCUUUCAGACCAGCUCCUAAGCUACCCUGUGCACAAAGUCAGAGUAACAGAGAAGAGGGAGGCUGAAAAAUCGGACAGUGACACCGAGGACCCAACAUCCAAAAGCAUUUAUGAGGGACUGCUUUUGGACAAAUGCAAUGGUGAGGAAGCCCUUCUGCCAAACUCCAGCCAGGACUGGGGCUGCUUUGAGUCUUUCAUUAGUGAAAGCAAGAUGGAGCUGCUGGACCUGUGCUCCAAAAAUGAGCUUUCGGUUAACCUCUUUUCCGAGGAGGAUGUUGACAAUUACAUGUUUGAUGACGAUGAUGAUUCCACCCUAAGCAGUGAUGUGUGUUCCCUGAAGAUCCGUUACGAGUCGUUUCAGGACAACGUGCGGGACAAGACAAAUUCCCUCCAGGAGGAUACCCAGUUCAACUUUUUUCCAAGUAUCCUUGUCAACUGCACUAAGAAAGAGAGCACCACUGUCAAAAAGAAUGUAGAUGGGCUGCAGCUCAAGGGAGAUGAAAUUAACAUCUUAGAUACUGAUGACAAGGGUGACAGAGAUAUCAGUCUUGCUGAUGGGACUCCAGAUGUCAGUCCAGAAAGUAAUUACUUGUUUGACUCCAACAACUCCACAGAAGACUCUGGUGAGUACAGCGAUGACAGCUCUUGUACUGGAUCUUCUUAUGACACUCUCCGAGAGGCCAAAGGUAGUCGUCGCCUUUCGUCCCGGGAUAAUUCUCACUCUUCUAGUCAGCUCAACUAUGGGUUGAGGGCCAAGAGAAAAGUCAGGUACAGCGAAGACUACCUGUAUGAUGUUGAUUCUCUUGAGAGUGAGAGAAAUGCUGAGAAACGCGAGAAACUAUCUGUUGGCCCCAAGAAGGAGGAGGACGAUGACUGGUGUCCAAAGAAAAGACGAAAAUCUUCGCGAAAGGAGCCGCCAGUUAUCAUCAAAUACAUCAUCAUCAACAGAUUUAAAGGAGAAAAGCACAUGUCAGUGAAGCUGGGAAAGAUUGACCCAACAGACACAACCGUAAGCUUAAAUGAGAACUUGCUGCACAAAUAUGAGAAACUGGCCCCUUUGAAAUACUACUGGCAGAAGAGAAGACAAGAGAGGCAGGAGCAGUGUAGGCUGGCUGGAAGUGAUAAACACAAAUUUUGUAUAAAUGGGUGUAGACGCUCCUUUAGCUCUAGUCCCCCCAAACGGAAAUACAGGAUUGCAAACAGACUCAGGAUUCAAAGAAUUCAAACUGUGGAACAAACACCAAACAAGCAGGGCUCCUCUUCUUCUGAUCACAAGCAAGAAGGCAGCACAGAAAGCGACACAGGCCUUGCAGGCAUCCAAUUAACAAUAGCAGCCUCCAACAGCAGCAACAGAUUAGACCAAAGUGACGUCACGCAUGCUGGCACAGUAAAAAGCAGAUCACAAGAAAGGGAAGAUAAGAGAAUUGGAAAUAAAUUUGUGAGAAUAAGAAAAUUUAAGAGUGAAGCCAGACUGAGGAGCAAAAAAUUGAAAGAGCUGCAAGAGACGAGCAAAAGCAUGACAGACCUGACAGGGCUUUGCCCUGUGUCCGAUAAUCCCGACCAAUUUGGGAGUAUUAAAGAUACCGUGAUUGAGGUGGCUGCAAGUAGCCCGCAUUUGUCUGAAAACUAUAAAGCCGAUGCCACCGGAAAAUCUACUUUCGUAUCAACGUCGUGCUCUCCAGACAAAAACACGCCAUCUGUGACCGUUGCUUCGAGUGUACCGGUCGUCCCCGGGGGCUAUCUGCAGACAUUGUUAGAUGUCUCAGAUUCAUCAAAUAGCACUGGAAUUUCGUAUUUCCCCCAACAGCAUCCCAGAUACCCACUCGCUGUUUCCCAGGAAGAGAAGCAGUUCACGUCUUUACAGCUGGCCCAGAGCUGCGUGCUCAGCCCUCCCUCUGAGUCUGAGCUCCAGCAGUCGCCGCAAAACUGCCAGAUUGAGCCUAAUUUUCCUGAUUUGUGGCACCCACAACCUGGCCCCAACCAGGCACCAUUUGCACCCGAUAUUCCGGAUUCCUCAAUCAUACCUAACGGCUUUCCAGGUCCAAUACCUGUGCCAAUUGCUGACAACAUGUCCAUUUCGGGAUACAGUCAGGUGAACCUAGACGAUAACAGGCUGCUGUACGAAAAGAAUUAUUUGCCUGAGCAGCCCCUGCAGGCUGACGCCGACUACCAGGCAUGCCAGGUCUCGGGUGGAGAGGGACAUUUACAGUUUCAGAGAGGCACGCUAAACACAGACAAUGGCAGACUCAUCAGUUUUGACUCAGUGGGUUCUCUCUCAGUUACUUCCAGUAAUUACAGCUGCCUAAGCCUAAAGUCCUGUGAAAAGGAGAGUGAGGAGGAUAUGAACGAUAACUUCUUGGCCCACUGCAGUCCAAAACUGGUGAUACAGCAAAGUGUUGAUGAAAUUACCCCCCUAAGAGAGUCCACGGAUCUGCUGGACAUCUCCAACUUCACUCCCGAUAAAUUCCGGCAUUCGUCUCUAUCUGAGAUGUCACCUCCGGACACCCCUAGUUUGUCUCCUCAGGUGAUGGGGCUAGAGAUGAAGGGAGGUGGAAAAGCGAAGGACUUUCAGAACGCUGGAGAAGGUGCUGUGGGCAGCACACCAGAUAUGAAAUGGACCUGUAAUGUCAUGCAGCAGCCGGAGCACCAAGGCAGACCAUUCAUGGUGAGCAGUCACCAGUUCCAGUUCCACACUUUCAAUGAUGAUGAUAGUGUGGGUAUGGUUGACAAAACUGCCUGUGUGGACCAUUUAAAUGAGAACCUGAGCCAAACUGACAGUGGCACGAAAGGAUCGAAAAGUAAAAAAAAAAUCACCAGCAAGCAGAAUGCAAGUCAGUGCUCCUUAGCAGAGCAGAAAGGUACGAAGAAAACGAAGACGCCCAAAGCUGCCAAGAAUGAAAAGAGCAAGACCCCCCGGCAGAAUUCGCGGUCCUCCAAGAAAGUAAAAACCCUGCUAGAUGGGAAGGCAAGUAAAGGCCAGGCAGGGGGUUCCAAGACAAUGACGAAACUGAGAAACUUGAUUCCUCCCGGACACUCUGUGGUGGACGGUGUUGCUGGGGGUGUAAUGGGAGGGGACUGGCCUUCCCUGAAACUGCCUAACACUGAGUGGUCUGAAGGCAGCAAUCCUCUAUAUGAUGACCAGCGGGAGUUUGAGGAGCCCUCCAACAUCUUAUCCAACAUAGCCUCAGGGAUGGCUGAUGUCCAGCGUUUCAUGAUGGCUUCUAUUGAGCCGUUGUGGGGUCCAGCAUCCGGAGUCUGCCAGACACCUGAGGCCAACAGCCUCAAGUUGAAGACACUCAAAAUCCUGGCGGGAACAGCACCCGAAUCCAAGAAGAAAGGAGCCUCUGCCACAUCCCCUGGGCCUGCAAGAGGCAGGAAGGCCACAGGCAAGGGAUGUAAAAGCCAAGCCAAGUUUGCCUCCUCACACUCCUUCUUCCCUUCGCUUGCGCUAGACUGUAACAUGUUUGACAAAUCCAACCUAGGCCUCCCUGGAACUAAUGGGCCGGCCCACAAAAAGAUGUACCGACACAAAAGCAGUACGAAAUUCCCACGGGACGAAAACAAUAAGGGGAAGCGAGCAGAGCGGGACCCAGGCAAAGACUUAGCAUUGAUGGCCUCUUUUGAAAAGCUGAGAACAUGGAUGCCCUCCAUAGUGCAGUCAGCCUUUUACAGCCUGACUUGUGUCAUGAGGGAAAACUACAACUUCCUGUAAAGAUGUAUAUCACCCUCUUUACCAUGUAGACUGUAAAUCACCAGAAGUGUGAAAAAUUGUCUUCUUUUUGGACAUUUCCUUGCAGACAGAGGGAUCUUUAUGCAUUUACAAAAUAUGAUUAUUUUCUAUUUGUUUUUCUUGGAAUGGUCUUAUUUGUUGUUUGCCUCUUUUCAUGAUUGCUUUGUGGGGCCUUAACCGAAAAACAGCCCUUAUUCAGUUCUUUAAAUGUUCUUAUUUCUCUAUUUUUUUUUUUUUUUUUUUUUUGUUAAAUGUCAUUGUACAGAAACAUAUGCACUAUUUGAAAGGAAAACAAUAUUCAUAACUGAAUUCAUGUGCCAAACUUAUGAACAAGUAUAACUGCACAGACAUUUUUAUAUAUCUCUGAGUAUUUGCCGUUUUGUUUUGCGACUGCCGGAAAGUUGACAUUCCAGAGAAGUUACAUUUUUGGACCCUCUCCAUUGAAAAGCACCCGCAGCUGACAGUGGUACACCGCCACUCAUCGUACCAAAAUGGAAAGACUGUUUUUGUUUUAUUCUUAAUUUUAUUCCUUUUUUUUUUUUUUUUUUUUUUAAAAAAAAACUUUGGUUGCCAAAUUCAAUUUACCUCAACGUCAGUGUCACCCACUAUUGUGAGACUUACAGCAAGGCAAAGAGACAGCCCGAUGAAAGCAGAGGUUUUACUGGGCACGACCAGACACAAAACCUCAUGUGUAAAAGAAAACAGCUCACCAGGCCUGCCGGUGGGACUGCACCAGUGGAGCGAUGCACAGGUGUCUCCCAGCUCUCCGUGGACCGCCGUCUCUAGUUCCUGCCUGUUGUCGACUGAAUGUACUCUUCUCUCCGCUUGUGUACCGCUGUCGAGCUGCUGCUUCUGAAUGGUGCUAGCAAAGCAAACACUCACAGAAACUCUUUGUCGAAGGACAGCAGAAAGGAAAAGAAAAAAAAAAAAAAACACCCAACCCAUCUCUGUGCCCUAUUUACGAAUGUACAAUAUACUAUUAUGUUAUGUUUGAUGUACUUACGGUAUGUUUUUGACAUUUAUUGGAAUCAAUUUUUGCCUUUUCCGUUGAAAGAAUAUUGAGCUUUAUAAAUAUUGUCUAGAGUUGUUACCAGAGGGGAUGCUUAAUGAACUCUCGACAUCCUAUGAAAUCUUGUAUAUUUUUCAGUGUGCCAAUUUGUAACAUAUUUUGUAAUUGUAUAUUUUUCUUAGAAAGUGCUGUGAAGUAUUUUGUGUGUGUGGGUACCCUUUUUUGUGCCUUUGUAGGCAGUGAAAAGGAUGUAUAAUGUCAAGUUUCUGGUUUUAAAAACCAAAAUACAAAUGACGAAAAAGGUUAGGAUGGAAAAAAAAUCUGAAAAAACGGAUAACUUUGUUGGGAGUUUUUGUAAUCAGACCAAUCUUGUUGUGAGAGUGUAGUGCUAUGGUGUAAAAACAAGCAAGUUCAAAAAAAGAAAAAUGAAUAACACAAAUUUGUGAACUCUUUGCUGUUUUAUAGAUUUUCAUGUAAAUUAUUCUAGUAUUUUGUUUUUGUUGUAACUGUUGCAAAAGU